rnacentral:misc_RNA from 1 species
GUUUCUCUAUAUUUUAGGCAUAUGCAACUCGCUUUUAUCUUAGUAUGCAUUACAAUGCUAUUGCUUUUAUGCAUGAGAGUUGCGAAGCAAGUGAGAUUGGCCAGGAAAAAGAAACCUUUAUCCAUGUAAUACUAUGUAGGUAGCAAACCUUCUUCUGAAAGUGACACAACAUUGUUGUGUAAAUUGUGAGAAUUCUUGACCAUUGCACUGGGGCCAUUCUCUCUUGUUUGUUGGAGUGUGUAAUCACAAAUUCAAC